rnacentral:tRNA from 1 species
ACUAUUUUGGCAGAUAAUUGUAAUGAUUUUAGAAGUCACAAAUAUAUAAUUUUUAUUAUAUAAAUAGUA